rnacentral:lncRNA from 1 species
AUUUAAUUGUUGGAUGUAAUUGUUGGAUUUUCGAAAGAUGGGUGUUAAUGGGUCAACCCCUUUUAUGCUGUUUCUCCUUGCUCUCUAGCUGUUCGACGAAAUGUCUGAAUGACGAUUGUAUUGAUGAUGCCUAUUGGGUUAUUGUGUUAAUUAAUCUAUCUUUUUCUGUACAAGUUCAAUCUGGUGGCUGCUCUAAGCAUUAGUAUAUUUUUCAAAGUGUAUCUGCCUCAAUUCAGCUCUCACCAAAUUGUUUGUCUGGGAUUCACCUUUUUAUUUAUAUUUUUCCAGAUUUUUGGUUUAGAUUUUGUUAAUUAACUCUAUGCGAUUGCUUUAAUUCCCUGUUUUGGUUUAGAUUUUUGGCUUUUUCUUCUAUGGCUGUUUGUCUGCGAUUCACUUUUCUAUUUAUAUUUUUUCAAAUUUUUGGUUUUGAUUUUGUUAAUUAACUCUAUGUGAUGGCUUUAAUUCCCUGUUUUGGUUUAGAUUUUUGGCUGGGAGUAAGCGAUUGCUUUACUUCCCUUUUUUGCUGGUUUAUGAGUUCUAAUUUUCUUUGAAUUGAUUCCAAUGUCUAAGGUUUUAAGUUGGCUGAGGUCUCCGAGCACAUCACCAGCAAGGGCUCCGAGAACUGCAUAAAAAGGUAAAUGCUUGCUGCCACAAUAAUGUUCCUUUGAAUCUUACUGAGUUGGAGAGUUUUAUUGUUAUAACUAUGUCCUGUCAAAAUUGUUUGCCUCCACCAAUGAAUGGAUUGUGCAUUAUUUAUUUGGAGAUUUAUAGGCUACUAUGUUAUUCUCAUGGCCUUGAUUGUGAACUAAUUUGUUGACACCAAAUGAUGUGAUUAUAUGGUAAUUUUUUUGUAUUUCCGAGCAGUCCAUACAAUCAUUGAUUACUGAUUGUGUCACAAGGAAUAUUAAACAGAUUGUCUAAGGUUUUGAGGGUGGCUUGAAAUAGGCAGUGUGCUACAAUUUUCUAGGAUUUUUAUGUAUUAAACUAUUCUCAGAAGUUGUUGAUUCUGCAUGGUUGAUUACGAAUGAAGCUGGAGCCUGGAACAAGUGAAACUACAGUUUCUUUGUAUAAAAGUUACUCACCUUUGCAAUAGCCUUAGACGGGUAAUCCCCUCCGAGUCUACCAUCCACACACUGGUCUAAGCAUUAUAUGAGUACUCAACAUACAAGUAGGAUUUCAAAUUACUUUGGUGAUAAGUUGAUCGAAUUUCGGGUGAGUUAUUGGCUCCACAAUUGCAAGAAAUCUGUUUUCAAAUUUUGCAUAUUAUGUGUUUGACAAAAUGCUUGAGAGAACCGUGUGAAUUUUUCUUUACAUUCUUGAGAUUGUCUCUUGCUGAUUCUUUUCUUCUUAUUUUUGUUGCAGGGAUUAAAGUAGAAGCUUGAGAUUAGAGCUGAGAUUAGAACUGCUGCAGAACUUUGAUUUUCCUCCGACUUCUUUUCUUGAAAGAAAUCUGGUGAGCUAUGUUUUUGGAAUUUAUAAGAGCUUUGCCUCUGUAAUCUGCACAUCAGUUGCAUUCAAACCUUAAACUGGUUAUGUAUAUAUAUGAUCCUAUUUAACUAGCCAUGUACAAGCUUCAAAUGGGGAAAAUUCUGCUUACCUCAUUUAUAUAUAUUUUUCGAUGGAAUAAAGCUUUGGAUAUGAGGUGAUAUUGUAGUUUAUACUUCUCUUGGCUUCAUGUUGUUAAUAACUCUUAUUAGAAUAAUAAUAUGAAUGCGUUUGUAUGUAUUAUAUAUGAAUUAUGAAGGGAUAACAAAUGCAAUUGUGUGUUGUGAGCAAACUAAUGCUGGACCUGUUUUCACACUCUUCCUUCUAUGCUUGAAUCUUGCUGAAGUAAUCAUAUGAGUUUGAAACAUUCAAGAUGAAUGAUAAUUAUCUUUCAUGUAAGGGCUUGCGGUGUUUGAUGAGUAGCUAGAAUAUAUAUCAACUUCUAAAGUUGCUCAGUGGUUUUUAAUAAUAUUCUAAACGAAUUGUGAUCCUUUUUUUUUCUUCUUCUUAAAAAACGAAGUCUGUAGACUACUUGCAGUUCUAUAAUAAUGAAUUUUAUUUUCGAAUCUCUUAUAUAUGCUGCAUAGCUUAUAUUUGAUAUUAUGCUUAUGCGUACUAAUCUACAAGUGGAAUGCUUCACUUUUAUAAAACUCAUAGUCCUACAACGUCAUUAAUGUCUAUUUAUUUACUCAAUUUGCAAAUUUCAAUUUGAAAUCCUCAUAAAUUUUUGAAAGUUGUAUAAAAUAUUCUCAAUGUUAUAUUUAAGUCUUAUCCUUAAUUCAGUGUCCUAUAUAAUAACUCUACAGUUUCUAUUUUCAUUUAUCUAUAUUCAUUAACGCCUUUUUAAUUUUGUAUUUUAUUUCUAAUAAUUAUUAUAUAAUUAUAUUGUAAUAUUUUCUAAAGAAACAAUCAACCCAAAUGGCCAUAAUGAGAAACAAAAAUCAAAAUUUUGACCCAUAAUCUUAAAACAUCAAAAUCUGGCCAUUAAUUAGGCGGAAUGCCCAAUUUGCCCUUUUUACCCAUCGCACUCCACAACCUGCAGCCGAUGAGAGGGGAAGACCACUUGUCGGGAGUCUGGGCCUUCAUCCAGGC